rnacentral:rRNA from 1 species
AUUGAACGCUGGCGGAAUGCUUUACACAUGCAAGUCGAGCGGCAGCGCGGGGCAACCUGGCGGCGAGCGGCGAACGGGUGAGUAAUGCAUCGGAACAUGUCCAUGUCGUGGGGGAUAGCCCGGCGAAAGCCGGAUUAAUACCGCAUAAGCCCGAGAGGGGAAAGCCGGGGACCGCAAGGCCUGGCGCGAUUGGGUUGGCCGAUGUCCGAUUAGCUAGUUGGCGGGCUAAGAGCCCACCAAGGCGAUGAUCGGUAGCCGGUCUGAGAGGAUGAUCAGCCACACUGGGACUGAGACACGGCCCAGACUCCUACGGGAGGCAGCAGUGGGGAAUUUUGGACAAUGGGGGAAACCCUGAUCCAGCCAUUCCGCGUGAGUGAAGAAGGCCU